AUGUAGCAGCAUAUAUCCUUCAGCUAAUCAUAAUCGCUAACCUUUUCAUCCAGAGGACCUAGGCGAGCGGGGAUUUGCGAUUUUCUUUUUCUUUCCUUUGUUUGGGGGACACGAGAAACCGAAUCGAACCUCUAGAAUUGACUGGGUAUAUGGAAGCUCGGUAACUGUGUGGGCAGAGGUAUAAAUGGAAUGGUCAACUCGUAAUAAUAACUGUAGGCGCCAGCACAGAUGUGUCCGAUCUGAGCAAAAUAGGGUGGAAUAAUCGGAAAAGUUCCUCAUGAAAUUACUCUUAAAAAAUUAAUUUACGGUGCCUUUAUCGUCCAGAUCUGUCUCAGUAACGGACAAAUACCGCUGCGAAUAUCCAGUUCGCAGCAAGAAGGCUGGUUUCCGGAGCUCACGGAGUAGCCUGCAGGUACCCUUGACGAAGCACCAAUCCAGCAGAUAUGGGCGCUGGGACCCACAUAGUAAGGAAU
rnacentral:sRNA from 2 species